rnacentral:rRNA from 1 species
UACGAAGGGGGCUAGCGUUGCUCGGAAUCACUGGGCGUAAAGCGCACGUAGGCGGAUUGUUAAGUCAGGGGUGAAAUCCUGGAGCUCAACUCCAGAACUGCCUUUGAUACUGGCGAUCUCGAGUCCGGGAGAGGUGAGUGGAACUGCGAGUGUAGAGGUGAAAUUCGUAGAUAUUCGGCAAGAACACCAGUGGCGAAGGCGGCUCACUGGCCCGGUACUGACGCUGAGGUGCGAAAGCGUGGGGAGCAAACAG